rnacentral:lncRNA from 1 species
AGCUUAGUUCUCUGUAUAGUCAGCUAUCUCCUUCCUGGAGCAUAGGAAGAUGCCAUGAACCUGACUGUGACUAAUCCUGCCUCUUGCGUCUGAUGUUAAAACGUCUCUCACAGGCAUGAUCUACAGAUGGCAACUCUGUGAGCCCAUCACCAUAUGUGCCUUAAAGCACCAAGAACCACUGGACAGUACUGAGGAUGUGAGCAGAGAAUGAGGAAAGAUUCAUUUGGAGGAAAGAAAAGCUAGCAAGGCCAGGGGCACUAAGUCUGUGAAGGGAGGUUGAGGAGCAGGCAGUAAGCAUCUGAACCAUGAAGAUGUGUCAGCAAGCUUCCUUCCCGCCGCCUACUUCAACUGCAACGAUGAUAGCGAAGAUACUGUGAACCCAUCUUUCCAAAGGUAUUGAAGGAGAAAUAUGAUUUGAAAAAAAUGGUCUUGCCAUCCAUUGAGUGCCCUGGCAGGAAGUCCCUGAUAGUUUAGAAGUGCAUUUGCUUUCUGUUCAUCAGAGGAUGCUGCCGUGUACCCCACUGAGUUCACAGAAAGACACUUCUUCAUCUUGGCCUUCACCAGGCUCAUAGAUCAGAUACGUGAAGCUCAGCAGUGGAGCAUGGGUUGCUACCAUCUCUGUGUUGCUUUGUAUGAACAAGGAUGCCUGGUAUCACUGGGGGAUGCAUUUGUCCUCCUGGGUCUGCAGGGGGCGCAUGUGAGAAGGUUUGUGAACUGUGCAUAUUUGGCAGAACUUGUAAAGAAAGGCAUAUCAGAGUAGAGGAGUGUAAGCCCAGCAUUCCCAAACCCUCAGGCUGAAAGGGGCUCCCAUGUGGCGAAGCUGCUGCUCUGGGUACUGUGGACCAGGUUGCAAGCUCAGGUCCAGCUACACCAGUGAGGAGAUAUGUGAUUGGAUUCAAGGAUGUCUCUAUUCUCAAGGAUGGCAAGGGCUCCAGAGUAAACCUGAAGACAGACAAAGGAAGACCCCUCAGAUACGGACCUGAUGUGUCACAUAGAAGAAAGUGGCACUGGAUACACACACACACACACACACACACACACACACACACCUUUAAAGACUCUGCCAUGCUGAGACCUGCUAAUAAAAUAAAAACCUUGACAAAACUAGGCAGGACAAGCUCCAACCAGAUGAGUUCCACCGUACAGUUUCAUGAACAUCACAUUCACUGUGAGGUUUAGUGUUAAAUGUCAACCUGACAAUUAGAGUCACCUGGGAAUGUAGUCUCACGGAGGGAUUGUCUGGAUUAGGUUGACCUGUGAGCAUGCUUGUGCAGGGACAUCUUGAGGUGGGAGUGUCUGCCCAUGAUGAGCGACAGCUAUUCCUUAGUCAGGUGAUCCUAGAUGAUUUGAGAGCUGAGAAAGGGAGCUGAGCACUAAGUAGCAUUCAUACAUUUAUACACCUCUGCCUUUUAGAGAUGCAGUGUGAUUGGCCAGUGUGCAUGAGUUCCUGUCACCAUGACUUCCUGUCAGCGAUUGACUGUACCCUGGAGUUGGGUGGUGGUUUGAAUGAGAAUGGCUCCCAUAAGCUUGUAUAUUUGAGUGCUUUGUCUCUAGUUUGUAGAGUUGUUUGGGAAGGAUUUAGGAGGUGUGGCCUUGGAAGAGGAAGUGUGACAGUCAGGGCAGGCUUUGAGGUUUCAAAAGCCCAUGACAUACCCAGUGUCUGUCUGUCUGUCUCUGCCUCUUGCUUGUGGAUCAGAUAAUAUAAAUCCUCAGUUACUACUCCAGCACCAGGUCUGCCUACCAACAUGCACCUGGCCAAAAUGGCCCUGGACUCACCCUCUGAAGCUGUAAGCAAGCCCCCAGUUAAAUGGUUUAUUUUAUAAGUUGCCUUCAUCAUAGUGUCUCUUCAUAGCUGUAGAACAGUAGUUAAGCAAGCCAUAAGCUAGAGGAAAAAAACCCUGUUUUCUCUAGGUUGCCUUUGUCCAAGUAUUUCAUCACAGCAACAGGAAAUCCUGACCAUCCACCAAAUCCACCACCCCGCUCCCCACUCUGGAGUUGGGGCCUGUAGUCUCAGUGUGGGGGCUUGGGUGGUACAGAGCCUGCAGCACUUCUGCUGGUGACCCCAGCAUGCCUUAAAUAUGACAUAAGUUAUUGACUAUCAGCUCUGAACCUUACUUUGAAGAUAGACUAACCAAUCAAAUCCCCAAAACCUAUUAUUUCAUAGAACCUAUUAUUCAUUAUGAGACUGGGAGACACAUUCAAUUUACAAUUGAGAUAGUUUCAUCCAACCUUAAACAGAAGGUGAGCCCUAUGUUCAGCCGAUUCAUUGUGGGGAGGGUGAAGAAAGACAACUUGGAUCAUGAGACAUUUCAUAAUGAUCCAUUUAACAUCCCUCUUCUGAAUAAUUCCUAGUCCUCCUGACUUCCAGGAUCAUUCUAGUUCCUGUAUACUGAAUACAGUAGCCAGAACAGAAGAUGUUGGCUUGUCCUGAGGUCAAGGCUAUUAGGUCCAAAGGGAACCACUAAAUCCCCCCAAAUGGCAGGGACAUUGACUAUGUCAGUCAGGGCUCAGCUUCAGCCUGGACUCAAGGGUUUCUGGCUGGCAGAUCCCUGCUCUCAGCAUUUUCAGAAGCACUCCUCAGAAAAUACCUCUUCCCUUAUCUCCCCUUGCCUCUGUCAUGAGGAACCUGGUUCUCUAUUGGCAUACACCUAUGGUGCAUAUCAAAGCCACUAGGCUCUUCUGCCUCUAAACAUCCAGGCUGUUCCAGCCUGCAGCCCCCCCCCCCCCCCCCCGUUGACAGCUCCUGGUUCUCUUUAAAACAUGCAAGUCCACCCCUGCCCCACCAUCCACUUCUCUCUGCUCUCAAGAAGUAGACAUGGAAGCUUUGCACUCUCCCAAAAGACCACCUGAGAGAUAGCUACAGGGCAGUUUCAUAUUCAUAAUAAACCUUUCUUCUUUAUACCUAGGGAGUGGUCCAGUUCAGUGGUUUCAAAGCAUCCUCACGUACAAAGACAUUUGUGUAAAAAGCACAACGUGAAGACUCCCGAGCCCUAGACGGCUAUGGAGUCAUCGAACUGACCAUGCUGGGUGGUCCUGGGGUGUGUCGUUCUGGGACAUUUGCUAAUAGGUGUUAGCUGUACUUCAGGAUGACGUGCCCAGAACUCUAGGGAAUGCUACUGCAGGGUUAUAGGCUGGAGGAGCCCCUGAACUGUAAUGAUGAGGUGUGUUAGCUGUUGAGAAAAUUGCUGGUAGGAGAAGCUUUCUGACAGGCUACCAUUCGCCCAGGUACUGUCAACCUUAGACAGAAUAAGAUCACAUUGAAAACCUAUACAGAUACUACGCUUUGUGAGAAGUCUACCAAUGCAGGCCUCGAUUGUUCUCCUGAAGCAGCAGCC